CACACGUGCUACAAUGGGUAGAACAGAGAGUCGCAAAGCUGUGAAGUGGAGCUAAUCUCAGAAAACUAUUCUUAGUUCGGAUUGUACUCUGCAACUCGAGUACAUGAAGUUGGAAUCGCUAGUAAUCGCGAAUCAGCAAUGUCGCGGUGAAUACGUUCUCGGGUCUUGUACACACCGCCCGUCACACCACGAGAGUUGGUUGCACCUGAAGUAGCAGGCCUAACCGUAAGGAGGGAUGCUCCGAGGGUGUGAUUAGCGAUUGGGGUGAAGUCGUAACAAGGUAUCCGUACGGGAACGU
rnacentral:rRNA from 1 species